GCAAUGCUGAGGAGUCCCACAAUAGGACGAAACGACUGUCCAAUGU
rnacentral:hammerhead_ribozyme from 1 species